AUUGAACGCUGGCGGCAGGCCUAACACAUGCAAGUCGAGCGGAUCGGAGGGCGGGUGAGUAAUGACUAUGUAUCGGCCUGGUAGCGGGGAUAACGUCUGGAAACGGGCGCUAAUACCUCAUACCAUCAUAUGAGCCUAGGUCGCAUUAGAUAGUUGGUGGGGUAAAGGCCUACCAAGGCGACGAUCCGCAACUGGUCUGAGAGGAUGAUCAGUCACACUGGAACUGAGACACGGUCCAGACUCCUACGGGAGGCAGCAUUGGGGAAUAUUGGACAAUGGGCGAAAGCCUGAUCCAGCCAUGCCGCGUGUGUGAAGAAGGUCUUCGGAUUGUAAAGCACUUUAAGUUGGGAGGCGUUACCAACAGAAUAAGCACCGGCUAACUUCGUGCCAGCCGCCGCGGUAAUAC
rnacentral:rRNA from 1 species